rnacentral:tRNA from 1 species
AGUAAAGUCAGCUAAUCUCACUAAGCUUUUGGGCCCAUGCCCCAAACAUGUUGGUUAAAACCCCUCCUUCACUA